rnacentral:misc_RNA from 1 species
CUGAAUUGUCAACAUGGGUUGUCGCUGGCCUCCAUAUGGGGGCAUGUGCACGCUCUGUUUGCAUAUCCACUCACACCUGUGCACCCUCUGUAGUUCUAUGGCCUGGGAGGCUUUGUCCCCCUGCUGUGGUUCUAUGUCUUUACAUACACACCGAAAUGAAGUCCCAUGGAAUGUAUGCCGCGUUUAACGCAAUGAAAUA